UGGGGAAUCUUGCACAAUGGGGGAAACCCUGAUGCAGCGACGCCGCGUGAACGAUGAAGCCCUUCGGGGUGUAAAGUUCUUUCGACAGGAACGAUAAUGACGGUACCUGGAGAAGAAGCUGCGGCUAACUACGUGCCAGCAGCCGCGGUAAUACGUAGGCAGCGAGCGUUGUUCGGAGUUACUGGGCGUAAAGAGUGCGUAGGCGGCGAGCCAAGUUUGGUGUGAAAUCUCCCGGCUUAACCGGGAGGGUGCGCCGAAAACUGGUUGGCUGGAGUAUGGGAGAGGAAAGCGGAAUUCCUGGGGUAGCGGUGAAAUGCGUAGAUAUCAGGAGGAACACCUGCGGUGUAGACAACUUUCUGGACCAAAACUGACGCUGAGGCACGAAAGCGUGGGUAGCAAACA
rnacentral:rRNA from 1 species